rnacentral:rRNA from 1 species
UACGGAGGAGGCAAGCGUUAUCCGGAAUUAUUGGGCGUAAAGCGUCCGUAGGUGGCUAGUCAAGUCUGCGGUCAAAGACUGGGGCUUAACCCUGGAAAGGCCGUGGAAACUGACGAGCUAGAGUGCGGAAGGGGCAACUGGAAUUCCCGGUGUAGCGGUGAAAUGCGCAGAUAUCGGGAGGAACACCAAUGGCGAAGGCAGCUUGCUGGGACGGUACUGACGCUGAGGCGCGAAAGCGUGGGGAGCGAACAGG